rnacentral:rRNA from 1 species
GACAGAGGUGCCGAGCGUUAGGCGGAAUCACUGGGCUUAAAGCGUGUGUAGGCGGAUUUUUAAGUACCUUGUGAAAUCCCACGGCUUAACCGUGGAACUGCUUGGUAUACUGGAAAUCUUGAGCCACUUAGGGGCGAGCGGAACAAAUGGUGGAGCGGUGAAAUGCGUAGAUAUCAUUUGGAACGCCAAAGGUGAAAACAGCUCGCUGGGAGUGUGCUGACGCUGAGACACGAAAGCCAGGGUAGCGAACGGG